rnacentral:rRNA from 1 species
UAUUGCCGGAAGAUAGCUCUCUGCAACUUUUACAUGGUCGCCCACUGAAGCUAAGUAGAGCUUCACCUGGUCAGUACCUGUAUGGGAGACCACCUGGGAACGCUGAAGCCUGAAUUAU